rnacentral:tRNA from 1 species
ACUUAUAUAAUAUAAAUAAUUAUAUUUAACUUCCAAUUAAAAAAUCUAAAUUUUUAGUAUAAGUA